rnacentral:rRNA from 1 species
CAGCUACCAUGCAAGUCGAGCGGCAUGCACGGGACGUCUUGCUCCUGGAUUCAGCUGGCGGACGGGUGAGUAAUGCCUAGGAAUCUGCCUGGUAGUGGGGGAUAACUUCCGGAAACGGGCGCUAAUACCGCAUACGUCCUGAGGGAGAAAGUGGGGGAUCUUCGGACCUCACACUAUCAGAUGAGCCUAUGUCGGAUUAGCUAGUUGGUGGGGUAAAGGCCUACCAAGGCGACGAUCCGUAACUGGUCUGAGAGGAUGAUCAGUCACACUGGAACUGAGACACGGCCCAGACUCCUACGGGAGGCAGCAGUGGGGAAUUUUGGACAAUGGGGGAAAGCCUGAUCCAGCCAUGCCGCGUGUGUGAAGAAGGUCUUCGGAUUGUAAAGCACUUUUGGUUGGAAGGAAGGGCAGUGGGUUAAUACCUUGCUGUUUUGACGUUACCUGCAGAAUAAGCACCGGCUAACUUCUUGCCAGCAGCCGCGGUAAUACGAAGGGUGCAAGCGUUAAUCGGAAAUACUGGGCGUAAAGCGCGCGCAGGUGGUUCAGAAAUUUGGAUGUGAAAUCCCCGGGCUCAACCUGGGAACUGCAUCCAAAACUACUGAGCUAGAGUGCGGUAGAGGGUGGUGGAAUUUCCUGUGUAGCGGUGA